rfam:Grosmannia clavigera kw1407 unplaced genomic scaffold GCSC_142, whole genome shotgun sequence.
GACGAGGUGCCAGAGUGGUCUAAUGGGUAUGACUAGAAAUCAUAUGGCUUCGGUCGCACAGGUUCGAAUCCUGUUCUCGUCG